AUGUAACGAUGUGCUCUCAGCUCUGGACACCACCUUUCCCUUGGAGACAUUUCUGCUACCAGAAAGGGUGAGGGUUGCAGGUCAGCGCUCCUGGCCCCGGGGCACAGCUUGGCGAAGAGCUAUAUUGUUCAGAAUUCUUUUGUAUUCCUUCAGAACAUUGUUCUUCAAGAUAUAUGGGAUCGGGUUACAGUUAAAGUACAAGAAAACAUGUAGAGGCUCAGAAGUACCAAACAGAACCCUGGUGACAAAAAUUCUGAAAUAUUUUCAUAGAAGAAAUUUGGGACAAGCUCCUGCUUCUGAGAUAUAUCUCGAGUUCACUCUUCUUUGUCUAAUGCAUUAUGGACUUGGAUUAAUUAGAACAAAUAUGAUUUGCAUUGCCGAUCUCUAAAUACCUAAAAAGUAUACUUCAUAACUACUAUUGAAAUGAUAAUAUUGCUAAUAAACUUAUGCUUAUGUAUCUGUCCUUGUAAAAUCUAGAUUGCUUUGUUAUUUCUGGGGCAGUGCACAAAGCUUUUCAAUAUUAUUUCAAGUUAUUUUUUUUUUCAAUCAGCGGUUGCCUGUUUGACAUUUAGAAAAUGCUAGUUAAUGAUAUUUACUUUUAUUCGGUGAAAACAAAGUGGUUUUGACACAGCUGGUCAUUCUGGUGCUUGGGAGAUAAACUAAAUGACUUGUUAC
ensembl:antisense Gm9017 predicted gene 9017